GUCACAUCUUUUUUUUUUUUUUUGGGCAAAGCGACGUCACAUUCUUAAGUAAUGUACGUGAAAAUAUAAAACUAAUUAAACUAACAUAUUUUUAAGUAAUGUGAAAAUUAAUAUAGUGUCUUGUUUACAUAAUUUAGUUUUAGAUUUAUAUUUUCACAUUACUUAAGAAUGUUCUGUAUAGCUAGUUCAAAAAUAUCAGUGUAGGAAAUAAGCAACAUAAUUUAUGUAAACAAGACACUAUAAUGCCUGAAUAAUAAUUGUUUUUUUAUUUUAUUUUAACUCCCUUUGUUUGUUUGUUUUUCGUUUGGAGAUGUGAGUCCAUAUUUGUAAAAAUGACACAAUUUUUAGUCAGAUUUUUUUUUUUUGUUGUUGUUGACAUAAUUGAUUAUUGAUGAAGUAGAGAGGUUUUAAUAUGCAAGAUUUCUCUUAGUUCUUACUACUCUGUUUAGUGUUAACACUAGCUAAGUAGCUAGUGUUGA
rnacentral:lncRNA from 1 species